UACGUAGGGUGCAAGCGUUGUCCGGAAUUAUUGGGCGUAAAGAGCUCGUAGGCGGCUUGUCGCGUCGGCUGUGAAAAUCCGGGGCUCAACCCCGGACUUGCAGUGGGUACGGGCAGACUAGAGUGUGGUAGGGGAGACUGGAAUUCCUGGUGUAGCGGUGAAAUGCGCAGAUAUCAGGAGGAACACCGAUGGCGAAGGCAGGUCUCUGGGCCACUACUGACGCUGAGAAGCGAAAGCAUGGGGAGCGAACAGG
rnacentral:rRNA from 1 species